rnacentral:rRNA from 1 species
AGAGUUUGAUCAUGGCUCAGGAUGAACGCUAGCGGAGGCCUAACACAUGCAAGCCGAGCGGUAGAGAUUCUUCGGAAUCUUGAGAGCGGCGUACGGGUGCGGAACACGUGUGCAACCUACCUUUAUCUGGAGGAUAGCCUUUCGAAAGGAAGAUUAAUACUCCAUAAUAUAUUGAUUGGCAUCAAUUGAUAUUGAAAGCUCCAGCGGAUAGAGAUGGGCACGCGCAAGAUUAGUUAGUUGGUGAGGUAACGGCUCACCAAGACGAUGAUCUUUAGGGGCCUGAGAGGGUGAUCCCCCACACUGGUACUGAGACACGGACCAGACUCCUACGGGAGGCAGCAGUGAGGAAUAUUGGUCAAUGGGUGCAAGCCUGAACCAGCCAUCCCGCGUGAAGGACGACUGCCCUAUGGGUUGUAAACUUCUUUUGUAUAGGGAUAAACCUACCCUCGUGAGGGUAGCUGAAGGUACUAUACGAAUAAGCACCGGCUAACUCCGUG